CUACACCUAGCAGGGGAGAUACCAUGAUCAACAAGGUGGUUCACCUACGGCGAGGCUUAGCCAUUGCACUCAGGCUGUGCUGACCCCUGCGAAUAACCCAAAUGUGGGAAUCUCUGCAUAAUAUCUGUAAGUGGGGGACUGCGUUUGCACUCUGUCCUG
rnacentral:snRNA from 1 species